rnacentral:rRNA from 1 species
UACGAACGCUGGCGGCGUGCUUAACACAUGCAAGUCGAACGGAAAGGCCCUUCGGGGUACUCGAGUGGCGAACGGGUGAGUAACACGUGGGUGAUCUGCCCUGCACUUUGGGAUAAGCCUGGGAAACUGGGUCUAAUACCGAAUAGGACCACGCGCUUCAUGGUGUGUGGUGGAAAGCUUUUGCGGUGUGGGAUGGGCCCGCGGCCUAUCAGCUUGUUGGUGGGGUAAUGGCCUACCAAGGCGACGACGGGUAGCCGGCCUGAGAGGGUGACCGGCCACACUGGGACUGAGAUACGGCCCAGACUCCUACGGGAGGCAGCAGUGGGGAAUAUUGCACAAUGGGCGCAAGCCUGAUGCAGCGACGCCGCGUGAGGGAUGACGGCCUUCGGGUUGUAAACCUCUUUCAAUAGGGACGAAGCGCAAGUGACGGUACCUAUAGAAGAAGCACCGGCCAACUACGUG